GCUGGCUUCAGCAAUACAUAUUAAAAUUAGAAUAAUACAGAGAAAAUCAGCAUGGCCUCUCAGCAAGAAUGACAUGCAAUUUCAGGAAGCAUUCCCUAUUUUA